rnacentral:rRNA from 1 species
UACGGGGGGGGCAAGCGUUGUUCGGAAUUACUGGGCGUAAAGGGUUCGUAGGUGGCCAACUAAGUCAGACGUGAAAUCCCUCAGCUUAACUGGGGAACUGCGUCUGAUACUGGUUGGCUUGAGUGCAGGAGAGGAACGCGGAAUUCCAGGUGUAGCGGUGAAAUGCGUAGAUAUCUGGAGGAACACCGGUGGCGAAGGCGGCAUCCUGGACCAACACUGACACUGAGGAGCGAAAGCCAGGGGAGCAAACGGG